rnacentral:tRNA from 1 species
GCCUGGGUGGCUCAGACGGUUGAGCAUCCGACUUCAGCUCGGGUCAUGAUCUCACAGUCUGUGAGUUCGAGCCCCGUGUCGGGCU